rnacentral:rRNA from 1 species
UAGGGAAUUUUCGUCAAUGGGGGCAACCCUGAACGAGCAAUGCCGCGUGAGCGAAGAAGGUCUUCGGAUUGUAAAGCUCUGUUGCCGGGGAAAAAGGAGGAAAGAGGAAAUGCUUUUCUUUGGAU